AGAGGUCCCGCCUGCCCUGUGAUAAUUAUUUAACGGCCGCGGUAUUUUGACCGUGCAAAGGUAGCGCAAUCACUUGUCUUUUAAAUGAAGACCUGUAUGAAUGGCUUGACGAGGGCUUAACUGUCUCCUUUUUCCAGUCAAUGAAAUUGAUCUUCCCGUGCAGAAGCGGGAAUAUAACCAUAAGACGAGAAGACCCUAUGGAGCUUUAAACUAAAGCAGAUCUUGUUAAACGCAUCUAAUUAAAGAAAUAAACUUAAAAGAACCCUGUCAUUUAUGUUUUUGGUUGGGGCGACCAUGGGGAAACAAACAACCCCCAUGUGGACUGAGAAAACAGUUCUCACAACAAAGAGCCACAGCUCUAAUUAACAGAACUUCUGACCUUNGAGAUCCGGCAAUGCCGAUCAACGGACCCAGUUACCCUAGGGAUAACAGCGCAAUCCCCUUUUAGAGUUCAUAUCGACAAGGGGGUUUACGACCUCGAUGUUGGAUCAGGACAUCCUAAUGGUGCAGCAGCUAUUAAGGG
rnacentral:rRNA from 1 species